rnacentral:lncRNA from 1 species
UUUUUUGUUUUUUUUUUCCCCUGAGUUGGGUAGGAGCCGUGUUGACUCACCUCCACUGCCAGUACAUCACUUAUGGGUGUUAUCAGUACCCUCAAAUUGCCCCAUCUGGACUCUGGGCCCAGAUAACCACUGCAUAAGCAGCCAGCUGUGCUGUUUGCCAGAUGCACUCUUGAUUGCUACUCUGUUUGGAAUCAGUCAGUAUAAUACUUGGCUGAUGACUCUGACCCAGAACUUUGAGUGCCUUUGCUAAUUAAGCUCUUGGCAGAGUAUUCCAACUGCCCACCCAUGGAAUUCCUGGCUCCUAGAAAUAAUUUAGAAUGUCUAGAAAGUGCAAGUCCCACUAUGGAUAGUGCCAUGCAUUGUGUUAAAAACGCUCAUCCGUGGAACAUUAAUAUCCAUGAACUUGGUGUUCCUGUUGUGGUUCAGGGGUAACAAACCAGACUAGUAUCCAUGAGGAUGCAGGUUCAGUCCCUGGCCUUGCUCAGUAGAUUAAGGAUCCGGCAUUGCUGUGAGCUGUGGUGUAGGCUGCAGACACAGCUCAGAUCCCACGUUGCUCUGCUGGCCUACACCACAGCCACAACAACUCAGGAUCCAAGCCAUGUCUGCAACCUACACCACAGCUCAUGGCAACACCGGAUCCUUAACCCACUGAUCGAGGCCCACGGAUUGAACCCGAAACCUCCUGGCUCCUAGUCGGAUUCGUUUUCACUGCAUCCCAAUGGGAAUGCCAAAGUUCUCAUUUUAAAAGUGUUUAUAUGCAUAUGUGAAUAGGAAAAAAAUAACUGGAAGUAUCUGGAAUACUGAUUUUUAUGUGCUUCUCUACACCAUUUGUCUAAAGUAUUGUGUUUAUAUUAAACACUGCAUUUACAAUUUGGGGUAAAAACAGGCCUCUAAGUUUGUAAUUUAAAAAUACUAAUUCUUCAGCUUCUGGAUAUUAUCUUUUAAAUUUAUGGUUUGUCACAUGUGAGUUCUACUCCUUUUUUUUUUUUUUUUUUUUUUUUUUUGGCCACUCCUAUGGCAUGAUCGAACCUGAGCCACAGCAGUGACAACAUCUGAUCCUUAACCCUCUGAGCCACCAGGGAGCUCAGAGGUUUUCAAUUCUGAAGAGUAAAAAAAACCCAAAGAAUAAACCAAGAGCUUCUUUCAAUGUGUUGGAACAGUUCUUGAAACAGAUUAACGCUCAAGAAGAUGAGCCAGGAAAUUUGGCUUCUGGCCACAUGACUGGGAGAUCCAACAUCCCCCUCUGCCACAGACCACUAAGUCCAGAAACAUACAGCCCUGGACUGACCAGGAGCUGAGGGGUAUAGCAGGGCUGGGUUCAAGGAUGGAUCCAGGCUGCGCUUUGAAUGUAAGAAGUAUAUGUAAGCUUUAGUGGUCAGAUCACAUACACAGAGGAUAAAACUCUUUAGAUUGCUUCAGAUUGAAUACCAGACCAGUAAGAAAGCUUCAAAAUGGUUUCUUGUGAAGAUUUUCAGCAUUGUAUACAGUAGCUCAGUAUUUUUUGGGAAAAGCUAGAAGCCACAGAAAUCUUUUAGAAUUAUAAUAUGUAUACUUUAUAAUUCACUUUUAAUUUCAUAUCAAUACAUUAUUAGUCUAUUCAAUAAUUUUUUUUUCUUUUUUGGCUGUCCCAUGGCAUAUGGAGUUCCUGGACCAGGGGUCAGAUCCUACACCACAGCUGACCCACUGUGCCAGGAAUCAAACCUGCAUCCUGGCACUGCAGAGACACCACAGAUCCCGUUGUGCUACAGUGAGAACUCCAACAAAUAUUUUAUAAAUACAUACCACGCGCCAGGCUCUGUGCAAAGCAGGAAACCAAAGAGAGAAGGUACCUGCUCUCAUGGGACUUAUAGUUAAGACCUGCACUGAUCAAUAAAUAUGUUAGUUACUAGAUGCAUGGCAACUGAUCCAAUUUGAAAUGUCCCAUAGGUGUAAAAUGUAUACUGGAUUCUAAACACUUGGUAUGAAAAAAACUUUUUUUUAUAUUGAUGACAUGUUGAAAUGAUAAUAAACUGGGUAUAUCAGGAAAAUAACAUAUAUUAAAAUUAACUUCAUCUGUUUCUCUUUUUUAAGGUGAAGACUAGAAAAUGUUUGCUUACAUAUUCAACUUAUGUUAUAUUUCCAUUGGACAACACUGGUCUAAGCAGCGGUUCUCCAAACUCCUGUGCUCAUAAUUAUGCGAGAAGCUUUAAAAAUGCAGAUUCCCAGGCUCCACUCCCCAGAGAUUCUUAUUCUCUCUGCGCUGGGACUCUGGUGCUGCUAUUUAUUUUUAAAGCUCCCAAGUGAAACCACGUGCAGCUGUUCCAGGGGCUGCAGGAGACACACAGUCUUCCACAGGCGCUGCCCCAGCCAUCUGGGUGAUAACCACCCAGCCACCCUCUGUGGGCCAUCUGCCCGGUUCGGGGUGGUUUUAAAAUAUGUCCAUGAAUUGAUACUCCUCUCUUCAAGAGGUAGAGCUUCAUUUCCCUCUUCUGUGAGAACAAGAUUUAAUGACUGGCUGCUAACAAGUAGCAUGUGGCAGAAGUGACCUGAACCUAGGUUAUGAAAGAUAUUGUGGCUUCCCACUCCCUCUCCUCUCUGUCCCCAUCUUCCACUCUUGUUACUUAUCCUGGAAAAAGCCAGCUGCCAUGCCAUGUGGGCACUCAGCCAGCCCUGCAGAGAUGUCCACAAGGUGAAGGGCAAAGGCCUUUUGCCGAUAGCAAGGAGAAACGCACCAGGUGGGAGUUCCCUGGAGGUGCGGUGGGUUAGGGAUCUGGUGACACUGCUGUGGUGUGGGCUUGAUCCCUGCCCAGAACUUCUGCAUGCUGUAGGCACAGAAAGAGAGAGAAGAAAGAUUAAAAAAGGAACUUACCAGGUAUGUGAUGAACCACCUUGGAAGGAUCAUUUAACCCCAGUCAAACCUUCGGAUGACUGCAGCCCCUACUGACCUCUGGACUGUGCGAUGUCUCAGGAAAAAGGUGAGCCAGAAUGACCCACUAAGUUAUUCCCAAAUUUCUGACCCACACAGGCUGAAUGAGAUAACAAACGUUUCCUGUUUUAAGUUAUUAAGUUUUACGGUAAUUUUUUUUUUUUUUUUUUUUUUUGGUCUUUUUAAGUCUGCACCCAUGGCAUAUGGAAGUUCCCAAGCUAGGGGCUGAAUCAGAGCUGCAGCUUCUGGCCACAGCCACAGCCACAGCAACUCAGGAUCCGAGCUACACCUGUGACCUAUACAAUAGCUCACAGCAAUGCCAUAUCCUUAACUCACUGGGCAUGGCCAGGGAUUGAACCCCCCUCUACAUGGAUACUAGCUGGAUUUGUUACUACUGAGCCACAAUGGGAACUCCCAGUUUUAGGGUACUUUUAAUGCAGCAAUAAAUACCUAACAUGCUGUGACACUGGGCCUCCCUGCUCCUCACCUCACUAGGGCAUCUACCAAUCAGCAGCUCACAACUAUUUAUGAGAGUGCUGCAAGGCUCUCCCUUUCAAGGUGAGAGUUCAGUGGCCACAGACAACCUUGCUUGAGCACCCAAAGAGGCACCUCGGUGCUGGCAUCAGUGAUCAAACAGCCCUGCUGCCUGGGAGCUGCACACCAACCUGUGGCUUUGAUGCCUUGCAGGUGGUUAUACACUAUGGCACUUGGUGAAAAUAUGCCAGGAUAAUUUUCUGUGUCCUUUGACCUUUGCUAGGAACAUGAUAUCUGGUAUGUCUCUGCCCUCCUCCCAACCUGUUUGCACUUUCCUUCGUCUCCUUUGGAAAAUAAAAUUCAGGAGUUCCCUGGUGGCCUAGCAGUUAAGGAUCCAGUGUUGUCACUGCUGUGGCUUGGGUCACUGCUAUGUCAUGGGUUUGAUCCCUGCCUAGGAACUUCUGCAAUCAGCAGGCAAGGCAAAAAAAAAAAAAAAAAAAAAAAAUUCACCUUUGAAAACAGGGCUGGUUAGAAACACACACACACACACACACACACACACAUCAUGCCCAUUUCUCCUCCUGACUGCAGUCUCCUCUCCCCCAGCCCUUUCUCACUCCCGCCUAGGUCCUCAGACCCUCAGCUCUGCUUACCUGGGAUGAUGGUGUUCCCCCUGCCUGUGGUUUUACAUACGUCUCCAUCCCCCUCGGCCUCCCCCAGAUCAUCCCACCAUCCACAUCUCCUGCAUUUUCUGGCACAGACAGUCCUCUGGAGGACAGAGCACAAGGCACCCUUCUACACAGGCUUUACUCUCUGGAGGGAGCAAUCAGGAAAGUGUCUUGGUCAACUGUCGAAAGAACUACUGUAGAUUUGUGGUCUCGGUCAAGAAAUUCUGCUCUCGUUGGUUUGGCAAUAACAACAACAGUCAAGUAAUAAUGCUUAACUUCCUUUUUUGACACCAUUAUAUUUAUGUUAAUUUCCUUCAACUUGAAGUUCUUUAAGAUUUAUAAGGUAAGAAGUUAGUUUCCGCUCACUGGAUCCCCCAAGUUGCCCUAAAAUGAACACCUAAUAUCAGCAUUAAUCAAAUGCCGCCUGCUUUUUUGCAGUGCAAACGUAGAAACAAAGAUGACUUUAUUCCUAAACUUUUUUUCCCUCCAUGAUUUUGCCUGGCUUGAAAUCAGACUCAUGUUCUAUAAAGAAGCGAUUAAGUACAAACUUGUGUUUUAACAGGAUAUAGUUAAGGCAGCCAGGAGCAUUCUCACUGCAUUAAGUUGAAAGGUCUUAAACAAAAGGAAAAAUUGAUUUCUUGUAUUGACAUAUGUGCUGCUAUUGUUACAAGGAGCUAUCCAUGGAAGUGCAUGAUAUUUUAGCUUUGUGUAAAUGUGCAAGUUCCAACACAAGGGUGUCUGACUCCAAUCGCCUUACGUCUGAGUAUUCCACUUUGCUCACAAAAGUGAAUUCACAUUUCUUCCCCUGAAAACAUACACUUUUUAAAUGUUCUUCUGCCUGCCACCUCCCUCCUGCUGUCUUCUACGCCAAACAGAUAAUCAGAGUAUUUUUAAAAGUGCCUUGUUAUUGACACAAUAACUAGAAGCCCACUACCUUGCAUUUUGCGCUACUAGGCUUCACUCCUUAUAAUAGCAGACAAAGGAGAAGUCUAGUAAUGAUAUUUACUCACCCAGGCUUGUGUUUGUCUAAUGUUUAAAAGGGGUUUUGUUAUCAUUAGACAUUCCUGAACAAUCGCUCUCUCUCGGAACAUCAAGCACGCGGAACGAGAGGCGAGGGUCGGGAUGGGGGAAGGGUCGAAAAAUCAAGGCUUCCAGGUCCAGUCCUCCCUGCUAGUUCAGUGCCAUCUAGUGGGGAAUUCCGAUGCGACUUAGGGAUGAGAAAGCUCAGCGUGGUCCCAGAUGAAAGGAACAAGACCUAAUAUCCAUACUCACACAUGACACGCAAUCACUGGUCAUCCUGUGUGGACUGUACCCAUUUUCUUUUCUUUUGACAGCCGCACCUGCUGCACAUGUAAGUUCCCUGGCUAGGGGUCAAAUCGGAGCUGCAGCUGCCAGCCUAACAGCACAGCCACAGAAAUGCAGGAUCCGAGCUGCUUCUGAGACCUACACCACAGCUCAUAGCAACACAGGGUCCUUAACCCACUGAGCGAGGCCAGGGAUUGAACCCAUGUCCUCAUGGACACUAGUCGGGUUCGGAACCCACUGAGCCACAACAGGAACUCCUUGUUCAGUUUUUUUAUAAAAGCAAUGAAGGAUACUUCAGUCUUUCCUCUAGUGUAGGAGAUUUGGGCUUGGCAAAUAUUUAGAAACAAUGGGAAUAAGAAUGCCCUCUAUGAAUGAAGAUGUGGAGUUUUCUACUGAUGGAUAAGCCUCAUCAUUUGAAGUUAAUAAACCAAGAGAAUAUCAGAUAAUGCGGGAGGAUCCAGUUGGGUUUAUUGUGGAAAUGGUUUUGGUAUCUUCGAUAAAAGGAGGCAGUGUUUAAGAGCUUGGGCCACUUACAACUGUGUGACAUUGACAACGGUCUCUCUGUACUGCAGUUUACUAAUACCCAACUCAAAGUUGUUGGGAGGAUUAAACGAGAAAGUUAAUGUAACAUACUUAAUACAGGGCUUGUUUUGUGUUGUUUUGCUUUGUUUCGGAACUGUUUUCCCUUGAAUAUUAACAGUACUACGAAAAAACAAAAAUAGAAAUUCUCAUUGUGGUUCCGCAGGUUAAGAACCUGACUGGUAUCCAUGAGGAUGAAGGUUCAAUCCCUGGUCCUGCCCAGUGGGUUAAGGAUGCAGUGUUGCCACAAGCUGCAGCAUAAAUCGCAGAUGUGGCUUGGAUCCAGCAUUGCUGUGGUGUAGGCCAACAGCUGCAGCUUCGAGUCCACCCUAGCCCAGGAACUUCCAUGUGCCAUGGAUUUGGACCUAAACAGAAGAAAACAAAACCAAACAAACAAACAAACAAAAAACUCCCCAAGUUAUGCCGACCCACACACAGACAAGCUUGGAAACUACCAGACCACACAUGUACAAAUUUAGUUACUUUGAUGGGAGAAGCCCUGGAGGUGAGGUGAGAGAGAAAAUAAUAAAAUAAUUCCUUGUAAAGUACAGACAAAUACAUUCACUUAAAACCAGACUUUACUACCACAAAAAUGAUAGAUUUAAAGACUUUUACUCAUGCUUCCAAACAUCAAAAAAAAAAAAAGUGCUUUAGAUGAACAAUAUUAAAGUAAAAUAUAUCUGGAAACUGCCAAGUUUCUAGUGGUCCAACACUAAGUUUUUCACUACAAAAUGUGUUUUUGGGAGUUCCCGUCGUGGCUCAGUGGUUAACAAAUCUGACUGGUAUCCAUGGGGAUGCGGAUUCGAUCCCUGGCCUCGCUCAGUGGGUUAAGGAUCCGGCAUUGCCGUGAGCUGUGGUUUAAGUCGCAGAUGCAGCUCAGAUCCCGAGUUGCUGUGGCUGUGGUGUACGCCAGAGGCUACAGCUCCGAUUCAACCCCUAUCCUGGGAACCUCCAUGUGCUGCGGGUACAGCCCUAAAAA